rnacentral:rRNA from 1 species
UGCAGUCGAGCGAAUGACGAGAAGCUUGCUUCUCUGAUUUAGCGGCGGACGGGUGAGUAACACGUGGGCAACCUGCCCUACAGAUCGGGAUAACUCAGGGAAACCUGGGCUAAUACCGGAUAAUCCUUCGAAUCACAUGGUUUGAAGUUGAAAGGCGCUUCGGCGUCACUGUAGGAUGGGCCCGCGGUGCAUUAGCUAGUUGGUGGGGUAACGGCCUACCAAGGCAACGAUGCAUAGCCGACCUGAGAGGGUGAUCGGCCACAUUGGGACUGAGACACGGCCCAAACUCCUACGGGAGGCAGCAGUAGGGAAUCUUCCACAAUGGACGAAAGUCUGAUGGAGCAACGCCGCGUGAGUGAUGAAGGUUUUCGGAUCGUAAAACUCUGUUGUAAGGGAAGAACAAGUACGUUAGGAAAUGAACGUACCUUGACGGUACCUUAUUAGAAAGCCACGGCUAACUACGUGCCAGCAGCCGCGGUAAUACGUAGGUGGCAAGCGUUGUCCGGAUUUAUUGGGCGUAAAGCGCGCGCAGGUGGUUUCUUAAGUCUGAUGUGAAAGCCCACGGCUCAACCGUGGAGGGUCAUUGGAAACUGGGGAACUUGAGUGCAGAAGAGGAUAGUGGAAUUCCAAGUGUAGCGGUGAAAUGCGUAGAGAUUUGGAGGAACACCAGUGGCGAAGGCGACUGUCUGGUCUGUAACUGACACUGAGGCGCGAAAGCGUGGGGAGCAAACAGGAUUAGAUACCCUGGUAGUCCACGCCGUAAACGAUGAGUGCUAAGUGUUAGGGGGUUUCCGCCCCUUAGUGCUGCAGCUAACGCAUUAAGCACUCCGCCUGGGGAGUACGACCGCAGGGUUGAAACUCAAAGGAAUUGACGGGGGCCCGCACAAGCGGUGGAGCAUGUGGUUUAAUUCGAAGCAACGCGAAAAACCUUACCAGGUCUUGACAUCCCAAUGACCGUCCUAGAGAUAGGAUUUUCCCUUCGGGGACAUUGGUGACAGGUGGUGCAUGGUUGUCGUCAGCUCGGGUCGUGGAAUGUUGGGUUA